rnacentral:tRNA from 1 species
GCCCCCGUAGCUCAGCCGGACAGAGCAAGGCCCUUCUAAUGCCAAGGUCGCAGGUUCGAGUCCUGCCGGGGGCG